AUCUUCUCCGUCUCUGACAACGCUUUCAGUUCAUGCUUAUUGAUAGGGAGAACCAGUCUGUCUUGAUCACUGGAGAAUCUGGUGCUGGAAAGACUGUGAACACCAAGUGUCAUCCAGUACUUUGCAACAAUCUCAGUUGGUGGAGACAAGAAGAGG